CAUCGGUUAUCUUAAGGACUCUUAGUCCAAUUUGUAUCUUGUCCGUACUCGGACGUAUUCGAUCUUCUGUAUGAUUUGGAUCUUUGCAUUGUAUAUUUGUAUCUUGACUCGUUGGAGUCGUUGUUGUAAUAUAUGUAUCUUGUGGGCUCUAUUGUAAUCCUGUUGUAAUGUUACCGCUCGUGUUAAUUCCUCUGGCAUCACGUGUGUGAUUCGUCGCGCACGUCGUGUCGGAUGGCGUCUCUGAAUUGAUAUCGUGCGGAUUUCGGCGGGAUCGCUGGAAUCCUCAGGAUACCGGUUUCGGGGCGUCACAAGUUGGUAUCAGAGCCCAGGUUGUCGAUACCCCACUAGUCCAGCCUUUAGGAUAACCUUGCCAACGGUCUUUGAGUUUAGAGAGUCUAAACUAUUUUCUGAAAAUUCGUUGGAUAGAUCUGAUUAGCUCUGAUUUUCCUCCUUACCUCUAUUCUUUCUCAUCUUACCUUUGCGAGUUUUGAGUCUCUUCUCUUAUAUGUGUUUCUCUGAGUCUUAGCUUCCGACGUGGGUUGGACGAUCUUUGCCCCUUACCUAAUAGGUCCGAUCUUCGGAGGAUCCCGACGGAAGCGCGUCAUCAACAGCGGAAGAACGACUUCUUGUUGGUGGUGUCGACCGUUCUACAUAGAGCAAGAAUUCUUGUUAGUGGUGUCGAGAAGAUCAACACUUCGCCAGAAGAAGGUUCCACGCCAGGUACAUGUGAAUGUCAGCAUGGCGCAAGAAGAUCCGAUAGUUCACCUCUCUCCCCCGUACCUUGAGGUGGAACCUCGGGGCGAGGUUCCUUGUUAGUGGUGUCGAUUGUAACGACCCGGAAAAACCCUAAUAAUAGUUUUUCUUCGCCGCUCGUUUUCCCGUGUCGUUCCUAAGUCAUAUGCAUCAUGCAUCAUAUCAUCUACAUGUUUUUGUCAAAACGAAAACUAUUUUGUUUAAUAAAAGCUAUUUGCGUUUUCUUCUCAUAUGGUUCUAUAAAAAAAAACCCUCCGUUCUCCUUUUCUUAUUAAAUUAAAACAAAACAAAUAUUUUGGGACUUCACAAAAUUAUUCUAAAACCAAAAUAUAAAGUUUUUCAAAUCUGUGCAAACCCAUACUCUCAUCUUAUUCCUUGCCCGGAGGAAUUCAGCAAGAACAAGAAAAUAGGAAGUGACAAAGAGAAGAAGAAGAAGAGAUAGCUGAACCGAUCGGCUCAUGUUGAUACUAAAUCCUAUCUCCACCUUGUUUUUCUCUUGGCCAUACCAACUCCAGCUCAGUUAAUCAGCAGCCCAGCAGUCCAAUAUAUUGGCUUAACGCCCAGCCCAGCAAUGACUCGUUCUGGCCACUGUUUGGCGUCUUCCUGCUCCAGCUCACGCCAGGUUCAUAGGAGCUGAGCAUCACCACUUCAACCACUCCAUUCUCUUUAUUUUUGUUUUCCCCAGUGAAGUCAAGCAAACCCUAGCGCUCCUCUUGCUCCUCCUUCCUGCCGCCGCCACUUCUUCCUUCCUCGUUUUUCCUUCUCCUUCCUCAACCAGCAAACGGAAACACCACCUGCAUCUCGUAAGGGCUCUGCCGCCACAAGCUUUUCCAUGGCCAUCUGCGUGGGGAAAAGCUGCACCUCGUCUACCUCUCCAACUUCGCCCAAGGACUCUCUCAAAACCGUCCAGGAUCGAGCUCGCGGUCGACGUUUUCCUCCUCGUCCGUCACCCUUCAUCGACGAUUCCGUCACCGACGCCGCGCCUCCGUUCAAGCCGAGCAUGGCUUUAAACUCCUGGUCGCCACCAUGCCCGUCGUCUACGUCUUCAACGAUGUCCGCGCACACGCCAAGGACUCCAAGCACGUCUGCUUCCUGUUCUGGCCUCCUGGUGGUAAGACUUGCACCCGUUGUGUGUUCCAGCAUUUGCUUCUUCCCGGAUAGGAUCGCGAAGUGGUGUUGUGAGAUACGACAAGUUCUUCUGCAGCUUUUCACAGGCGAGCCCACCCCUUCACCUAUUUUACUUUUACAUGCUCUUUUGAUCUAUUGCUAUCCUUGUGUUGCGAUUCUGUUGUGUCACGUGUCCUAUCCACCUGUUACCUAUAUGUCCGAGAUACACCUCCUCGCCCUACCUAUUGUUUGUUGUUUGCCAGCUUGCGAGUCGUAGGCGAGUUUAGGGUCUUGUUGAUAUCUCGAGAUGUUCGGGAUAUCUUGUUGGGAGGUUAUCACAUGCUAUAUCUUUUGUUGGAGAUAAUCACACUUUACUUUAUUGUUAACAACUAAAAUUGUAAGCAGAGGCAUCUGUGAGCCCCUUUGCGAAAGCAUCGGAACUUUGGCUCGCUAAUGUCCCCUAGGACCCGAGUUCUUGUUAUCUGUUCCGAGAUUGAGCGCUCUACCCGUACGUGGGGGAGUGGGACCCCCAUCACCCACUACCUUUCCUCGAGUCUGUUUAUUGGGAGCCACAACCUUGGUUUUAUUUGCCCAUAUGCACGAUGCACGAUUUACUUCCUGUUGCCUUCGGGUGUUUUAUUCUGUACUGUACUCAUAACGCGGGACUCCUUAUCCUUGGCCGGUCGUUAGUGCCCGCCUUGGAAGCUGUCGCAAACCUCUGGGUCCGUAUCGGAGUACGGCCGGACUUCGUCACGGGUAGCUUAGUUGGGUGGCUCCCAUUAAACUUUCUCUUGCAUUGGGAACGGUCUUGUUGUGAGACUCCACCUGUAGUAAGUGGGUUCGAGCAUGCGUAUGGUUACAUUUGGGCAACCCCUGCAGGGUGUACAUCUUAUCGAUAAGCCGUGUCCGCGGUUAUGGACGACUUGGAAUUGUAUGGCUUGAUCAUAGAACAACUUACACUAUUAUCUUGUUGUUAAUAAUCUGAUAAUAACUUGAUUAGUAAUUUAGCAUUACUACAACCGAUACCUAAUAAAACUUGUCCACCGUUGAGUGCCUUUUACAUUGCCUCUUCGCAAUUGUUGAAGGGGAUAUGUGUAUUUGGCUGGGUUAUGUUUGUGUAGUAUUUAUCUGUUACCUUGUGCGCUCUCUUAUCUCCUCUGAGUAGACGGAAGUUGUAGCGUGUCUCUAUUGGAUAGUAGCUUUGCUGCCGCUAAACUCCACAUAUAGCCGGGUGAAGUUUAUACCGCCCACCAGCGAGCAUAGCUGGUCUUGUCUCGCAAGUACGUGCCAUUGGUACUUACCCUCGCCUUCCUUUCUUUUUGUCUCCUCCCCCUUUUGUCGGCAACCGAUGGCCCGACUU